AUUGAACGCUGGCGGCAUGCCUUACACAUGCAAGUCGAACGGCAGCACGGGUGCUUGCACCUGGUGGCGAGUGGCGAACGGGUGAGUAAUACAUCGGACAUGUCCUGUAGUGGGGGAUAGCCCGGCGAAAGCCGGAUUAAUACCGCAUACGAUCCACGGAUGAAAGCGGGGGACCUUCGGGCCUCGCGCUAUAGGGUUGGCCGAUGGCUGAUUAGCUAGUUGGUGGGGUAAAGGCCUACCAAGGCGACGAUCAGUAGCUGGUCUGAGAGGACGACCAGCCACACUGGGGCUGAGACACGGCCCAGACUCCUACGGGAGGCAGCAGUGGGGAAUUUUGGACAAUGGGCGAAAGCCUGAUCCAGCAAUGCCGCGUGUGUGAAGAAGGACUUCGGGUUGUAAAGCACUUUUGUCCGGAAAGAAAUCCUUGACUCUAAUACAGUCGGGGGAUGACGGUACCGGAAGAAUAAGCACCGGCUAACUACGUG
rnacentral:rRNA from 1 species